rnacentral:rRNA from 1 species
UUCCGGUUGAUCCUGCCAGAGGUCACUGCUAUCGGUGUCCGAUUAAGCCAUGCGAGUCGAGAGGUGUAAGACCUCGGCAGACUGCUCAGCAACACGUGGAUAACCUGCCCAAGGGUCCGGGAUAACCCCGGGAAACUGGGGAUAAUACCGGAUGGGUCACCAGUGCUGGAAUGCUUGGUGGUCGAAAGGUGACGCCUUUGGAUGGGUCUGCGGCGGAUUAGGUUGACGCCGGUGUAACGUACCGGCGUGCCUGUAAUCCGUACGGGUUGUGGGAGCAAGAGCCCGGAGAUGGAUUCUGAGACACGAAUCCAGGCCCUACGGGGCGCAGCAGGCGCGAAAACUCUACAAUGCAGGCAACUGCGAUAGGGGGACAUCGAGUGGCAUCCACCUUGGGUGUCUGUCCAACCGUCUAAAAAACGGUUGUUAGCAAGGGCCGGGCAAGACCGGUGCCAGCCGCCGCGGUAAUACCGGCGGCUCGAGUGGUGGCCGAUAUUAUUGAGUCUAAAGGGCCCGUAGCCGGCUUUGCAAGUCCCCUGGGAAAUCCGGCGGCUUAACCGUUGGGCUUUCAUGGGAUACUACAUUGCUUGGGACUGGGAGAGGUAGGAGGUACUCGGGGGGUAGGGGUGAAAUCCUGUAAUCCUCCGGGGACCACCGGUGGCGAAGGCGUCCUACCAGAACAGGUCCGACGGUGAGGGACGAAAGCUAGGGGCACGAACCGGAUUAGAUACCCGGGUAGUCCUAGCCGUAAACGAUGCCCGCUAGGUGUCACGACGGUCGUGAAUCGUCGUGGUGCCGUAGGGAAGCCGCGAAGCGGGCCACUUGGGAAGUACGGCCGCAAGGCUGAAACUUAAAGGAAUUGGCGGG